rnacentral:rRNA from 1 species
AUGUCCGGAUCUCAGCGUAGUGGGGUACGUACUCCCUUUCAGGACCUGACAAACAACGACAGUUCAGGCAUACCUGUUGAUGUGGUAAUGAGUGAUCAGACUCCACUUCAUGGUCCAUGUGAACUAACAACACCAGAUACUGUCGGGUCUAACAAGGAAAAUGUUGAUAAUAUUAACUCUGCCAUUGAGUCCUCCCAACUUACUGUGUUACGACCGCCACUUCAAGCCUACAGAUGCAGCAGUUCGUAUGGCAACGACCACGACAAUGAUGCAUAUGGAAUACUGGAGCCCGAUGGCAACACAACAAAUAUGGAUGACUGCUUGGGAGUUGAAAAUCUUAUUGAAACUGAAUAUGUUGAGCCUGAUGAAGAAGCUAGGAUGUUCGCCCACCAAGAUGUUGACUUUGAAUCCUACCGAGUUGAACGACGUCACACUGAUGGAACACCAACAAAUGAUCCUAAUGAUAGGGCUUACAUUAACCUUCCCAAAAAUCACCAUGUCCUUAGAAAAGUUAGGGACUGUCUCCACUGUGGAGCAUUGCGGUUUCAAUACGAGGGACCUGCAUUUUGUUGCAGAAAGGGGAAAGUAGAUUUAUUUACUCCCGAGGUCCCAGACGAGUUGAAACGGUUGUUCACAAGUCAACGUGAUGACGAUGCUAAACAUUUUCGAGACAAUAUUCGGUAUUUCAACUCUCACUUCUCAUUCACAAGUCUUGGAGUCACCCUUGAUCGUCAAGUAAGCACUGCAGCAAGAACCGGCGUAUAUACCUUUCGUGCUUGUGGGGGGUUGUACCACGCUCUUGAUGAGCUGGUGCCGGCUGAUAAUGGCCCUAGGCAUUUGCAACUCUAUAUUUAUGAUACAGAUCAUAACUUGGGGCACAGGACUAAUAGGUCUCCAGAUCUAGAUAUAGAUCUCAUACGGAAAAUUCUGGGAAUACUAGAGCAGAACCCUUAUGCACAGGCUUUCAAGAGCCUUGGGUCUGUUCCGAAUCUAGAUGAGUACAAGAUCUCACUAAACACAGAUAUCAAGUUGGAUCAACGUAGGUACAAUGCCCCAACGACUUCUCAGGUGGCAGAGAUAUGGGUUGAAGGGAGUGAUCCACAAAACUAUUUUGACAGGAGUGUUGUCGUGCAUGCCAAAAAAGGAGACCGACCACUCUAUAUUAGAGCAUACUAUGGUUGCUAUGACCCAUUGUCAUAUCCACUGUUUUUACCAUGUGGGGAGACUGGUUGGAAUCGUUGGAUGCCGUAUGUUCAGGCCCCCGAUGACACCACCCAAUUUCCAGCGCAUAAUUCUGGACCACAAGAAAACGGCACCUCUGAUUUACAUCCAGAUGAAAACUUGAUUAAUGGAAGGGAACGAGUUGGCACCUUUGUGCCAGAUGAAGACCGGGUCACUGGUUUACAUGCAGAUGAGGAUUUAAUUAAUGAAAGGGAACAAGUUGGCAAUUUUAUGCCAGAUGAAGGCCAAGCGACUGAUCUACAUGCAGAUGAUAAUGAGGAUAUCCAAGAUGAGGAUUUUGGUGACAAUGAGGUCAAUGCAACACAAUCCAGGAAAUUUGUUAGUGCAAGGGAGUACUACUGCUUCAAGCUACAGGUCAGGAAGAAGCUUUUUAACAUCAUCUUGUUUGGUGGGCGCCUUUUCCAACAGUGGGCGGUUGAUAUGUAUAUCAAGAUUGAGACUAUGAGGCUGGACUGGUACUCAAAGCCAGAAAAUCAAAAAGUUAUACGAGCUGAUCUCUACCAGGGUCUUGUUGACACCAUCGUUGCCGGCGAGUCACGCGGUGAUCGAAUUGGCAAGAGAAUCGUGCUUCCACCAUGCUCGAGCAUCAAGGCAGUCAAGUAUUUGUUCAAGUACAUCUAUAAAGGCCACGAUCGGACGUCCUUUGCAUUCGAGCAGGACAUAAUCAAUGAUGGUGGAAUCAUCAAUGAAAUUCGACAAUAUAGGGAUGCACGCUACGUAUCUCCUCUAGAGGCUAUUUACAGGAUUUUUGGUUUCAAAAUGUUUGGUGUCAGUCCAUCAGUGCUGCAGCUCCAGCUUCAUUUGACGAACAUGCAUACAAUUGCAUUUAAAGCUGGUGAAAAUCUUGAAGAUGUUGUCGCUCGACCAUCUUCAUCCAGGUCCAUGCUUACCGAGUACUUUGAGAUGAACCGGAGGAAUCCGCAAGCACAGAAAUUGUUGUACAGAGAGUUUCCAGAGCAUUAUAGAUGGAUAGCUGGAAAAAAGAAGUGGCAGAAGAGAAGAAAUAACAGAUCACAGAUUGGAAGACUUGUGUAUGCACACCCUGCUGAAGGAGAGAGGUACUACUUGCGUGUGCUUCUAAGUCAUGUUCAAGGUGCCACUUCUUUUGAUCAUUUAAAAACAGUAAAUGGCAACCUAUGCACUUCCUUUAGAGAGGCAUGUGAGCACUUAGGCCUCAUUGAGCACGACAAGACUCUUGAUGAUUGCAUGACAGAGGCAGCCACAUUUCAGAUGCCUUCUGCCCUAAGACGGUUGUUUGCAACUAUAUUGGUAUUUUGCGAGGCAACGGAAAUACGACAAUUGUGGGAUAAACAUCUACCAUCAAUGUGUGAGGACUACAGUCGUAAUGAAUCCAAUGAGUCGGUACUUGAGCAGAUGGUCCUUCGAGAUAUUAGGGAUAUGUUGCAAUUCAUGGGAAAGGAUAUUAAGAGCUAUGGACUUCCGGAUCUGGUUGAGACCGAUGGUUCUUAUGACAGUGAGUACAAAGAGGUAACAGAGGAGAGGCAAAUCACCACGGACACAGAACAUCUAGAUCUAUUUAGCAGUUUGAACAAUGAGCAGCUAGCUGGUUUCAAUGACAUAAUGGAUCAUGUGAUGAACAAAAAAAGCCAGAUAUUCUUUGUUGAUGGUCCAGGAGGAACUGGGAAGACGUACUUGUACAAGGCAUUGCUAGCAAAGGUGCGUUCCAUGGGCGAAAUCGCGAUCGCAACUGCUACAUCUGGUAUUGCAGCGUCGAUAAUGCCUGGAGGACGCACAGCACACUCCCGGUUCAAAAUUCCAAUCAAGCUCAUUGACAACAGUAUGUGCGGUUUCACAAAACAAAGUGGUACAGCGGAGUUGCUUAGACAGGCGUCCCUGAUAAUUUGGGACGAAGUCGCUAUGACAAAACGACAAGCAGUUGAGACGCUUGAUAGAUCACUACAGGAUAUAAUGGAAUGUUCUUUGCCGUUUGGAGGAAAGGUUGUUGUCUUUGGUGGUGAUUUCAGGCAGGUCCUACCCGUUGUGACACGUGGGACAAGAGCACAAAUAACGGAUGCUACACUUCUGAGAUCCUAUCUUUUGGAGAAGACCCGCAAGAUACGUCUCACGCGCAAUAUGCGGGCACAGGCUGAUCCUUGGUUCUCAGAAUACCUACUAAGGAUAGGCAAUGGAACUGAAGAGACAAUUGGCGAUGAUUAUGUCCGUCUCCCUGAGGACAUUGUCAUUGGCUAUACCGAGGAUGAAAAAGCUAUUAACAUGCUCAUCGAAAAUGUCUUCCCAUCUUUGCAGGCCAAUGCUAGAUCGAGAGAGUACAUGAGUGCACGUGCUAUUCUUUCAACCAAGAACGAUCAUGUUGAUGACCUGAAUGACAAAAUGAUCUCCAGGUUUCCAGGCGAAGAAAAGUUAUACCAUAGUUUUGACUCAAUUGAGGAUGACUUGCAGAAUAAUUACACAAUUGAUUUUUUGAACUCAAUCACACCAAAUGGCUUGCCCCCGCAUGUUUUGAAAUUAAAGGUCAACUGUCCAGUCAUUCUGCUCCGGAACCUCGACCCUCAUAAUGGUCUAUGCAAUGGAACACGGCUUAUGAUCAGAGCCUUUCAGGAUAAUGCAAUCGAUGCGGAGAUUGUUGGUGGUCAGCAUGCUGGAAAGAGGGUGUUUAUACCUAGGAUCCCUAUGUCACCCUCAGAGGACAUCUCACUUCCUUUCAAACUUAAGAGAAAACAGUUCCCCAUCCGCCUGAGUUUUGCCAUGACAAUUAACAAGGCACAGGGUCAGACCAUCCCAAAUGUCGGCAUUUACCUUCCCGAGCCAGUAUUCUCACAUGGGCAGCUAUAUGUUGCAUUGUCAAGAGGAGUGUCGAGAGAGACGACACGGAUUUUGGCCAAGCCAAACAAGGAUGUUGAUAAAUCCGGGAAAAGCACCAAGAACAUUGAUGGCAUCAACAAUGUAGCAAAGGAUGAGGAUAUAGAUAAUAUGCAGGUUGAAGAGGUCAUAAAGAAGGACGAGGAUACAAACUAUGAGUCGGCACAGGUGAUACAAGAAGACUCUACUAUGGAGGAUACAGAGAAUAUGCAUAUUGAUGAGGUCAUAAAUACGUACAUAAAUUGCAUGAUUUUUACGGAGCAUCUACAAGUAAGGUGGUCUUGUGGUCUCUGGAUGUUAAAUUACAUGGAGUACUUCACGGGAGAUGGUUUGUCCGACACUCCUGAACAGGUUCACAUGACAGAUUUUAGAACAAAAUUAGCUGUCAUUUUAGUCGACUCGGAAUUCAAUGAUGACGAUAUAAGAAACCGAGACUUGGAUGAUGAUGAAACCAACACGGAUCUCACUGAUUGUAUGAUUGUCGAAAGACCUCCUAACAAACCUAAAGCAUCCAACUCAUCGUCACAAGUUGAGCUCAUCUCGCAAUCAUUUAUCCUUUCGCCAAUUGUCACUCCAACAAACGACGACUUAAUAGAUGAACUUUGCUUGUUCAUCACCAUGGUUGAUGAUGUCCCGAUGCUAGAGAGCGAAUGGGUGAAAAGCUCUCAGCCUUACCCUAUUAGUUUAAACUUGAGACAAUUAAAGAACAUAUUAAAAAAUGAUGAGUACAUGGAUGCUGAUUGUUUUAACAUGGCUGUGAGGAUACUAGCGUGCCACGACGUCCAGCUUGCUAGAGACGUCCCAGUACACUAUAUGGAUCUACGAUUCUGUUCCAUGUCCCACUAUGCACGAGUCCCAAGUCAACGUGAUGGUAUGGACAUCGCUAUGUUGGCACAAUUGUUUGAUAGCUGGCCUGACAGCAAUGAGUAUCAUAUCUCAGAAUGUGAUACGAUUUUAUUGCCUCGUGAUAUUCUUGGGUUAUUUUUAUUGUCUGUCUUGGACCAACAUAAAAAAGUUGUCUCUAUUUUGGACCCGCUUUCAAUACCCACUUUCGGAAAGCAUAUACUUGAAACUAUGGCCAACAAUCUAAACCUUGCACUCCAAGCUGCAAACCCUGCCUUCAAGGACGACAUUUUGAUAUGGGGAUGCAAAGUUCCUGCUGUUCCCACAAACUCAUACGGUCCCCUGUCUGGUUAUUUGGUUUUCAAUUUAAUGCACUCAUGGCACGAUGGGACGCUACAUUUUCCAGUACCCAAGGUUGAAGACAACCUUGAGGAAGGGAGGGCGGCGCCUUCUCUGUUCAGGGAGCCCGCCUGCUUCAAGGGCGGACACUGCAUCCUCCUCGUCCACGGCGACGAGACCCGCCGGAUCCUGCACACAUGGAUGGAGAGCGUCGGGGUGAAGGUCUGGCCCAUCUCGUGCGCCGAGCUCCUCGGCCCGACCAUCGGCGAGGUGUGCUCCACCUUCAGCGCCUCGCCGUCAAGGCCACCGUCGAUGUCGUCGCUGCACAGCGCAGGAUGCGACGACUUGGAAGACACCAUAGAUCGCUUCCUCGUCUCCAAGGAGAUGUCCAGCCACCUGAGGAGCAGCAGGGGCAUGGGCGGCAACCACGCCGGGCACCUCCACGCCUUCAGCUUGCUCGUAGUCGUCGACGUCUCCGCUGGGAGGCUCCACGAGGCCGCCCGGGAGGCGGCGAGCUUGGCGAGGACCAAGCUCGAGGCGCCGUGCAGGGUCGUCUGCCUGACGGACCCGAAGAUCCCCUCCAAGGACCUAGGGAGGUUUAAAGAGGCGAGCUGCUGCGACCUCGAGCUCCGCAAGCCCAUCCACGGCUCCCGGCUGCACAAGCUCCUCCAGAAAAUCCACGGGCAGAUGUUGAACGAUCUCGGAGCAACCGUGGAGAUUGCAGGCGAUGGCUCCGUGGCGGUGGCCAUGUUCACAGAAGCUCUUGACAACGCCUUGCUGUAUGACGUGGUCCUCAUGGAUUGCCAGAUGCCGGUGAUGAAUGGCUAUGAGGCGACGAGGCGCAUCCAUCAGGAAGAAAGCCGACACGGCGUCCGCACCCCGAUCAUUGCACUGACGGCGAAUUCCGCAGAGGAAGGGCCGCGGGAGGCCAUCGAAGCUGGGAUAGAUCUUCACCUGACGAAGCCAAUACCAAAGCCGAAUAUCGCAAGGAUUGUUCUUGAUCUCUGCAAACAAGACAAGAACUGA